GCGACACUAGCUCAUUCGGAUAGAGCAGCUGCCUUCUAAGCAGCAGGUGGGCCGUUCGAACCGGCCGUGUCGCA
rnacentral:tRNA from 1 species